UACGUAGGGGGCAAGCGUUGUCCGGAUUUAUUGGGCGUAAAGAGCGUGUAGGCGGUCAGGUAGGUCCGUUGUGAAAACUCGAGGCUCAACCUCGAGACGCCGAUGGAAACCAUCUGACUAGAGUCCGGAAGAGGAGAGUGGAAUUCCUGGUGUAGCGGUGAAAUGCGUAGAUAUCCGGAGGAAUACCAAAGGCGAAGGCAGUGUCCUGGCUGGCAACUGACGCUGAGGCGCGAAAGCUAGGGGAGCGAACAGG
rnacentral:rRNA from 1 species